GUGGCCGUCCCCUGUCUUAGGGCAGGGAAAGGUGUUUGCUUUUAAUUUUGAAUUUGGGUCCCAUCGCCUUUCCAAAUCUAGUUUGUAUAGUUUUGGCUUUUAAUUAUUUGGGCAGCAGAUCUUGGUUUGAGCAUGGAGAGGGAGGUGUUGGAGAAGAUUUGCAUUGUCUCGAGUGGUAGAUCGAAGUUAGCUUUGGUUUGCUCUCCUGAGUCCUUUUCUAGCAUCUGGGUCUAAAAGUCUGCAUGGUAAGAGAACUCUUCUUGUUUUGGCUAGUUCACAUCCUCGGAAUUUGCUUUUACACCAUAGCUAGGAAGUUCCUCCCAAUGGCCUACAAGGGUCGAAGAGCUCUGUAAUAGCAUCAUCACGUCGGUGGUAGAGCUGAGCGAUUUUUUGGUGGAGAAAUCUGAUGGUCGGCAUCGUGGGGGAGAGGUUGUGCUUAAAUGGGCGAUGAAGGUUAAUGGAAUGGCUUCAAUCUACUCUUUCCUUGUGGCGACAAGUAUUGGUGAUGGUUGGCUGUGUGUUUGGAGGUAGUCGGCAAUUAAGGUCCUUUGUUUUGCUCUUUUCUAUACCUUUGUUUUGCUCUUUUCUAUGUACCAGGGAUGGGUUGAUUUGUGGAUUUGUUUAGAUUGGGUUUGGUUAUUUUUUGGGUUUUAUUUGGUUUGGUUAGUUGGGCUUGUUACUUGCCUCACAGUGUGGAUUUCCUUUUUCUCUUUGUUAGCCAGAUCAGGUUGUAUGGAUCUCGUCUUUUACGAGUGUUUCAAUGCAAGAAUGCAUUAAAAAAAAAA
rnacentral:misc_RNA from 1 species